rnacentral:rRNA from 2 species
AGCAACAAAUGCCCUGCUUCCAGGAAAAGCCUCUAAGCAUCAGGUAACAUCAAAUCGUACCCCAAACCGACACAGGUGGUCAGGUAGAGAAUACCAAGGCGCUUGAGAGAACUCGGGUGAAGGAACUAGGCAAAAUGGUGCCGUAACUUCGGGAGAAGGCACGCUGACACGUAGGUGAAGUGAUUUACUCAUGGAGCUGAAGUCAGUCGAAGAUACCAGCUGGCUGCAACUGUUUAUUAAAAACACAGCACUGUGCAAACACGAAAGUGGACGUAUACGGUGUGACGCCUGCCCGGUGCCGGAAGGUUAAUUGAUGGGGUCAGCGCAAGCGAAGCUCCUGAUCGAAGCCCCGGUAAACGGCGGCCGUAACUAUAACGGUCCUAAGGUAGCGAAAUUCCUUGUCGGGUAAGUUCCGACCUGCACGAAUGGCGUAAUGAUGGCCAGGCUGUCUCCACCCGAGACUCAGUGAAAUUGAACUCGCUGUGAAGAUGCAGUGUACCCGCGGCAAGACGGAAAGACCCCGUGAACCUUUACUAUAGCUUGACACUGAACAUUGAGCCUUGAUGUGUAGGAUAGGUGGGAGGCUUUGAAGUGUGGACGCCAGUCUGCAUGGAGCCGACCUUGAAAUACCACCCUUUAAUGUUUGAUGUUCUAACGUGGACCCGUAAUCCGGGUUGCGGACAGUGUCUGGUGGGUAGUUUGACUGGGGCGGUCUCCUCCUAAAGAGUAACGGAGGAGCACGAAGGUUGGCUAAUCCUGGUCGGACAUCAGGAGGUUAGUGCAAUGGCAUAAGCCAGCUUGACUGCGAGCGUGACGGCGCGAGCAGGUGCGAAAGCAGGUCAUAGUGAUCCGGUGGUUCUGAAUGGAAGGGCCAUCGCUCAACGGAUAAAAGGUACUCCGGGGAUAACAGGCUGAUACCGCCCAAGAGUUCAUAUCGACGGCGGUGUUUGGCACCUCGAUGUCGGCUCAUCACAUCCUGGGGCUGAAGUAGGUCCCAAGGGUAUGGCUGUUCGCCAUUUAAAGUGGUACGCGAGCUGGGUUUAGAACGUCGUGAGACAGUUCGGUCCCUAUCUGCCGUGGGCGCUGGAGAACUGAGGGGGGCUGCUCCUAGUACGAGAGGACCGGAGUGGACGCAUCACUGGUGUUCGGGUUGUCAUGCCAAUGGCACUGCCCGGUAGCUAAAUGCGGAAGAGAUAAGUGCUGAAAGCAUCUAAGCACGAAACUUGCCCCGAGAUGAGUUCUCCCUGAGACUUUAAGUCUCCUGAAGGAACGUUGAAGACGACGACGUUGAUAGGCCGGGUGUGUAAGCGCAGCGAUGCGUUGAGCUAACCGGUACUAAUGAACCGUGAGGCUUAACCUUACAACGCCGAAG